UUCUUUUCAGAUCUGUUGUGUCCAAGAAGGGUUUUCUAAGCUUCAUGGAGCCUCGCUCUAACUCAUGGGUGAAGCAUUUUGUGGUUGUUCGCCGGCCCUACGUCUUCAUCUACAACAGCGACCAGGACCCCGUGGAGCGAGGUGUCCUCAACCUCUCCACAGCACAGGUGGAAUACAGCGAAGACCAGCAGGCCAUGCUUAAGGUUUGAGGCAGGAUAGAGAAAGGCUGGAUGUUACACACUUGUCUUUAAUGAGAAUUCAUUCAAAUUGUUUUGGUGCACAUUGGCCAGUUUUGGACACAUUGAUUGAUGAAAUGGCAAAUGGACUGGGAUUUAUCAUUUGAAUGAACAAAAAUAUGGAGGCAUCCUCCUGCAGGCCAACAACGAGAACGACAUGAACGACUGGCUGUACGCUUUUAAUCCUCUGCUAGCAGGAAGGAUAAGAUCUAAGCUGGCGAGGCGGCGCACCGGCCUGACGAAGAACUGAGCGGGCGGAGCGGUUCCACUGUCAUCCACGUCAUACUUAGAUCCUCCUCAAUCUGUGUACAUACGCCGCCUCUAAACCCCCGAUAGUGCCAGUGUCAGUUAGUGAGUCAGUAAAAUACUCAUGCAUUUGUGUUAACAUAAAAACUGCAGACUAACUAGAGACAAACAA